GGGAGCCACGCGUCCGGGUUUUUAGGGGCUUUGUCCUCCGCUCUGCGUAUCUGUGAGUCAUCUUCGAAGCAGUGGGCUCGCUACUGUCUUUAAGGACCACCUUUUCUUACCCCGAGAGGAGCCUCAAGUUUCUGCCACCCGCCUGCUUCAGAGCUUUCAAAAGUCUCAGGUCGAAACACCUGGGUUCUCCUCCCAGUGCUGCCCUCACCGCCGGGACGAGUCCAUCUCACGCAAUGGUCGCGCCUCUCCAAGGGUCGUAAAAGGCUCCACACCCAGCGUUCUGGCGGGGUCAAUAAAACAAUCCGUGUGUGAAAGCACUUGNAUGACUCUUUUUCUUUUUUUUUUUUUUUUUUUUUUUGUCUUUUUGCCAUUUCUUGGGCCCUACCCACGGCAUAUGGAGGUUCCCAGGCUAGGGGUCGAAUUGGAACUGUAGCUGCCAACCUACACCACAGCCACAGCAACGUGGGAUCCUUAACCCACUGAGCAAGGCCAGGGAUUGAACCCACAACCUCAUGGUUCCUAGUUGGAUUCGUUAACCACUGCGCCACAGCGGGAACUCCAUUUAUGAUUCUCCCUUCCUUAGUGAGGACAUGAGACUCAGAGAUGCUAGGUGACUUAUCCAAGGUCCCACAGUUAGGAAAUGACAAUAGUGGAGUUCCCAUCGUGGCGCAGCGGAAGUGAAUCCGACUAGUACCCGUGAGGACGCAGGUUCCAUCCCUGGCCUCGCUCAGCGGGUUAAGGAUCAGCGUUGCCGUGACCUGUGGUGUACCAGCACGUAUCUGGCAUUGCUGUGGCUGUGGUGUAGGCCAGCAGAUGCAGCUCCGAUUCAAUGCCUAGCCUGAACACCUCCGUAUACCUCGGGUGCGGCCCUAAAAAGAAAAAAAAAAAAAAGAGAGAGACUAGUUUAAUUCAAUAAUGGCUACCAUUUUCUCUCUCUUAUUCCGUAGUUCCAAUCUACGCCACAGGGGAGGGAACUGAGGCUUGGACUAUCGUUACUUAGCAAGGCCGCUCCUGUGACACGUCGUGGAUGCCAAGGGGACAGAGAUGGAUUUUCCUCCUGGUGGCUGUCGGAUGCCAACGGCCUUCAGGUUCGCCGUUGGCGUCUCGGUCCCUCCCAGUUCAGCGCCCGGGCUGCUAUUUAACGUGUGGUCCCCGUCUUCUCACAUACGCAUC
rnacentral:lncRNA from 1 species